UGGUUGGUUAGAGAUGGGUGCAUUGCUGUCGACAUGGAGUCGCAGCACUGGUCUUCUGUAGGAACGAAGACCUUCCGCACCGUCGGUUGUUUUGCUGGAGUGCUAAGGCGUAGGAAGGCGUUGCCGGUCUGGCAACGUUGAAGAGGUUCUUUCCGGGAAUUUCUUUUUGGCAGCGGUGUAAUGUGGGAGGGAGGGAGAGAUGGAGAAGGGACUAGAGUUGGCUAUUCUUAUGUGUUCCUUUCGUCUGUUUUGGAUACCAAGGAUUAUUUGUUUUCUACUUGUGGCGGUUUUCAGAUGUCUUUUGAUGUUGGUCCUUGAUGUGAUGCUCAUUGGUCAGCGUGAGUUUGAUGGAUGGCCAACAGUUGAUCCCAUGACCCUGUUGGUUUCUUGAUUUGGAGUCUAGAG